rnacentral:rRNA from 1 species
GAGUUUGACAUGGCUCAGGAUGAACGCUGGCGGCGUGCUUAACACAUGCAAGUCGAACGAAGCGCCUUAUUUGAUUUUCUUCGGAACUGAAGAUUUGGUGACUGAGUGGCGGACGGGUGAGUAACGCGUGGGUAACCUGCCCUGUACAGGGGGAUAACAAUCAGAAAUGACUGCUAAUACCGCAUAAGACCACAGCACCGCAUGGUGCAGGGGUAAAAACUCCGGUGGUACAGGAUGGACCCGCGUCUGAUUAGCUGGUUGGUGAGGUAACGGCUCACCAAGGCGACGAUCAGUAGCCGGCUUGAGAGAGUGAACGGCCACAUUGGGACUGAGACACGGCCCAAACUCCUACGGGAGGCAGCAGUGGGGAAUAUUGCACAAUGGGGGAAACCCUGAUGCAGCAACGCCGCGUGAGUGAAGAAGUAUUUCGGUAUGUAAAGCUCUAUCAGCAGGGAAGAAAGUGACGGUACCUGACUAAGAAGCCCCGGCUAACUACGUGCCAGCAGCCGCAGU